UUCUUCUCCUUCUUCAUCGUGGUCGCCAAGACCCCCCUCCCCCUCAUCUCUUUCUCUUCCAGCCGUGUGAAGCCACCACGGUCGCCGAUCCGCCGCACCACCUCAGCCCAACCAUCUGCACCGCCCAUGCCAGCUGCUCACGUCGGUCCAGCCGCUUCUUCCAUUUGCGCCAUUCACCCCCAAUUGCGCCUCAGCCACAGCCUGAUGCCGUUUUUGACCAUUCGCUGCCUGGUUCCUUCAACGGUUCCAGCACUCUUUCGGCCAGCGACACUUCCCUUUUGUUCAACGCCUCUAUUCACCAUGAUCUUGGAUUUUUGGCUUCGACGAGGGUUUUGGACGGUUUCGUAUACUUUUUGGAGGUAGAGGUGGAGGCUUAAGUUGUUAUUCGCUUGAGUUAAGGGCUAAUUUUGGUAAGUUACCUACUGCCGAUUCGCCCUCGAACCUAAGUGUAUUAAGUACUAGUCCCU